rnacentral:rRNA from 1 species
UACGUAGGGUGCGAGCGUUGUCCGGAAUUACUGGGCGUAAAGGGCGCGUAGGCGGCGUGUCAAGUCAGGCGUGAAAGCCCCGGGCUCAACCUGGGAACCGCGCUUGAGACUGGCAUGCUCGAGUUCGGGAGAGGAUGGUGGAAUUCCCAGUGUAGAGGUGAAAUUCGUAGAUAUUGGGAAGAACACCGAUGGCGAAGGCAGCCAUCUGGACCGACACUGACGCUGAGGCGCGAAAGCGUGGGGAGCAAACAGG